UACGAAGGGUGCAAGCGUUAAUCGGAAUUACUGGGCGUAAAGCGCGCGUAGGUGGUUCAGUAAGUUGGAUGUGAAAUCCCCGGGCUCAACCUGGGAACUGCAUCCAAAACUGCUGAGCUAGAGUACGGUAGAGGGUGGUGGAAUUUGCUGUGUAGCGGUGAAAUGCGUAGAUAUAGGAAGGAACACCAGUGGCGAAGGCGACCACCUGGACUGAUACUGACACUGAGGUGCGAAAGCGUGGGGAGCAAACAGG
rnacentral:rRNA from 1 species